CCGUGGAACAGCUCAGCCGCGCAGUCGAUGUUUUGAAGAAAAAAAAUGAGCUCUUUGCAAACCAUCCAUCAAGAGUUUGAUACGCUACAGAAAAACCAGAUGGAAGCUGUGGAGAUGAAGAAAAAAUGCUCUAUUGCCAAUGGAACUGUUAAUACAUGCUAAUCCUCAAUACAUAUUAAUGACAAACUCAUAGUUUAGGAUGUUUAGGUCUAAAACGAGCUUAAACGGAGUUGAAUGGGACAAUACAGAUCCCGCCCGGGCGUUCUAGCUGGAAUUGCACAUCAAGAUACAGAGAGUUUGCCCGAUCGGGCGUUUUCCAUCCGAAGAAACGCCCACCCGGGCGUUUUGAAGUGAAAUGCGGGUUCCAGACAAAACGCCCGGUCGAGCGUUUUGACACUUGCCCGAUCGGGCAAAUUUGACAGCUUCCUUAUUUUGCCCAUUUUUCACCCCAAAUAUA